CGGCGAUGCCGACGCAGUACUGGACGGGGUGGUAGCACGGCUUGCUGCUGCUCGUGCCGUCAUGGUGCAACAUGUUCCUAGUUGUUGGGACCAUGGCGGCGGCGUCGUGCUGCUGCUGACCUCGACCGUGUGGUGAUAGCUGAUUAUUAAAGUGUAUCGAUGUGGAAGUGCUUUUACUAAUCUUGGUACCUAUAUACUCAUUUUUUAGUAGUUGU